rnacentral:rRNA from 1 species
AACGAACGCUGGCGGCAUGCCUAACACAUGCAAGUCGAACGAGACCUUCGGGUCUAGUGGCGCACGGGUGCGUAACGCGUGGGAAUCUGCCCUUCGGUUGGGAAUAACUGAGAGAAAUUUCAGCUAAUACCUUAUAAUGUCUUCGGACCAAAGAUUUAUCGCCGAGGGAUGAGCCCGCGUAGGAUUAGGUAGUUGGUGGGGUAAUGGCCUACCAAGCCGACGAUCCUUAGCUGGUCUGAGAGGAUGAUCAGCCACACUGGGACUGAGACACGGCCCAGACUCCUACGGGAGGCAGCAGUGGGGAAUAUUGGACAAUGGGCGAAGGCCUGAUCCAGCAAUGCCGCGUGAGUGAUGAAGGCCUUAGGGUUGUAAAGCUCUUUUACCCGGGAUGAUAAUGACAGUACCGGGAGAAUAAGCUCCGGCUAACUCCGUG